CUUCCUACGGGGCGCAGCAGUGGGGAAUAUUGCACAAUGGGGGAAGCCCUGAUGCAGCGACGCCGCGUGAGCGAUGAAGUAUUUCGGUAUGUAAAGCUCUAUCAGCAGGGAAGAAAAUGACGGUACCUGACUAAGAAGCCCCGGCUAACUACGUGCCAGCAGCCGCGGUAAUACGUAGGGGGCAAGCGUUAUCCGGAUUUACUGGGUGUAAAGGGAGCGUAGACGGUUCUGCAAGCCAGCUGUUAAAGCCCGGGGCUCAACCCCGGGACUGCAUUUGGCAC
rnacentral:rRNA from 1 species